rnacentral:rRNA from 1 species
GACGAACGCUGGCGGCGUGCUUAACACAUGCAAGUCGAACGGAAAGGCCCUGCUUUUGUGGGGUGCUCGAGUGGCGAACGGGUGAGUAACACGUGAGUAACCUGCCCUUGACUUUGGGAUAACUUCAGGAAACUGGGGCUAAUACCGGAUAGGAGCUCCUGCUGCAUGGUGGGGGUUGGAAAGUUUCGGCGGUUGGGGAUGGACUCGCGGCUUAUCAGCUUGUUGGUGGGGUAGUGGCUUACCAAGGCUUUGACGGGUAGCCGGCCUGAGAGGGUGGCCGGCCACAUUGGGACUGAGAUACGGCCCAGACUCCUACGGGAGGCAGCAGUGGGGAAUAUUGCACAAUGGGCGGAAGCCUGAUGCAGCAACGCCGCGUGCGGGAUGACGGCCUUCGGGUUGUAAACCGCUUUCGCCUGUGACGAAGCGUGAGUGACGGUAAUGGGUAAAGAAGCACCGGCUAACUACGUGCCAGCAGCCGCGGUGAUACGUAGGGUGCGAGCGUUGUCCGGAUUUAUUGGGCGUAAAGGGCUCGUAGGUGGUUGAUCGCGUCGGAAGUGUAAUCUUGGGGCUCAACCCUGAGCGUGCUUUCGAUACGGGUUGACUUGAGGAAGGUAGGGGAGAAUGGAAUUCCUGGUGGAGCGGUGGAAUGCGCAGAUAUCAGGAGGAACACCAGUGGCGAAGGCGGUUCUCUGGGCCUUUCCUGACGCUGAGGAGCGAAAGCGUGGGGAGCGAACAGGCUUAGAUACCCUGGUAGUCCACGCUGUAAACGGUGGGUACUAGGUGUGGGGUCCAUUCCACGGGUUCCGUGCCGUAGCUAACGCUUUAAGUACCCCGCCUGGGGAGUACGGCCGCAAGGCUAAAACUCAAAGGAAUUGACGGGGCCCCGCACAAGCGGCGGAGCAUGCGGAUUAAUUCGAUGCAACGCGUAGAACCUUACCUGGGUUUGACAUGGAUCGGGAGUGCUCAGAGAUGGGUGUGCCUCUUUUGGGGUCGGUUCACAGGUGGUGCAUGGCUGUCGUCAGCUCGUGUCGUGAGAUGUUGGGUUAAGUCCCGCAACGAGCGCAACCCUUGUUCACUGUUGCCAGCACGUUAUGGUGGGGACUCAGUGGAGACCGCCGGGGUCAACUCGGAGGAAGGUGGGGAUGACGUCAAGUCAUCAUGCCCCUUAUGUCCAGGGCUUCACGCAUGCUACAAUGGCUGGUACAGAGAGUGGCGAGCCUGUGAGGGUGAGCGAAUCUCGGAAAGCCGGUCUCAGUUCGGAUUGGGGUCUGCAGCUCGACCUCAUGAAGUCGGAGUCGCUAGUGAUCGCAGAUCAGCAACGCUGCGGUGAAUACGUUCCCGGG